ensembl:lncRNA
CAAUCAGAAGCAUGCCUGUAGGUAGCCUAAAUUCAUUAGGGCAAUAUUAUAUUUUCAAAGCAAAGGUAGGCUGUAUCGAAUUAACUUAAAUUAAUUACAAAGCCUUUGCAGCAACAACGCCUAACUCAUUUACCCUAGAGGCUAUACACUGCAUGUUUAAUGAAAUAAAAAAAGACUAUAAAAGACUAUAAUCUACUGCCCUAAUCAUAGAAAUGUAUUGAAAUAUAAUUGCCCACAUUAACAAUAUAAUGUAUUGAAAUAUUACAGCCUAUUUUAAUAAAUAUAAUGUGCCUAUAUUAAUUAAUAUCAAAGCCUAUGAGUACCCUCCAGUUCCACUAUGCCUGCAUGCUCCAGGACCAGGUGGGAGUCGAUUCAGAAAGUAAACCACAUUUGAAUUUCACUGCAUGCGACACUGUAAAUGGAUUUUAAAAAGUCGCUCAGGAAAAUAUGAAUUUGUCCUUUUAAAACUACUUGUAACACAAAUUAUGUCUGUGAUAUAAAGUUUCUAAUGACAUGUGGAUUACAUUGAUUAGUUUAGGAAAAUUGGAGGGGACCUGAACAAUAAAAAAAAAAACUCAGAUUUGAAAUGAAGUUUCAGUCACAUUGAGUAUCUUGGCCUAUUUUGGCAGGGUCAUUCUAAUUAUAAUUUUAGCGUACUUCAUGAAAAGACUGGAAUUCAACUGAAUGCUUUCCAUUUUUAGAAUGGGUUCCAUGGGAAUGACAUGUCCUCUAGAUUUAACAGGGAGGUCGAUUUAACAGGGAGGUCGAUUUAACAGGGAGGUCGAUUUAACAGGGAGGUCGAUUUAACAGGGAGGGUGAUUUAACAGGGAGGGUUGAUUUAACAGAGAGGUCGAUUUAACAGGGAGGUCGAUUUAACAGGGAGGAUGAUUUAACAGGGAGGGUGAUUUAACAGGGAGGAUGAUUUAACAGGGAGGAUGAUUUAACAGGGAGGUCGAUUUAACAGGGAGGAUGAUUUAACAGGGAGGAUGAUUUAACAGGGAGGUCGAUUUAACAGGGAGGUCGAUUUUUACGUUUUAUAUAUUCACAAACGUCUCUGUAUGCAAGUCUUUAUGUGCACAAGAAAUGUAAAAACAAACCAAACAUACACCUCAGCACAAAAUAAAGACUAAUGAAACAGAA